GCUCUGCAAAUUGAUACCGUAACUUCGGAAGAAGGUAUGCCUUCGACGGUGUAGGGAUUUACUCCCGAAGCUGUUGAAGGUCGCAGGUAAUCGGUGGCUGCGACUGUUUAUCAAAAACACAGGACUCUGCGAACACGCAAGUGGAAGUAUAGGGUCUGACGCCUGCCCGGUGCCGGAAGGUUAAUUGAUGGGGUUAGCCGCAAGGCGAAGCUCUUGAUCGAAGCCCCGGUAAACGGCGGCCGUAACAAUAACGGUCCUAAGGUAGCGAAAUUCCUUGUCGGGUAAGUUCCGACCUGCACGAAUGGCGUAACGCUGGCCACACUGUCUCGACCCGAGACUCAGUGAAGUUGAAAUCGCUGUGAAGAUGCGGCGUUCCCGCGGCAAGACGGAAAGACCCCGUGAACCUUCACUACAGCUUUACACUGAACUUUGAACCUUUCUGUGUAGGAUAGGUGGGAGGCUAUGAAACUUGGGCGCUAGCUCGAGUGGAGCCAACCUUGAAAUACCACCCUGGGAUGUUUGAAGUUCUAACCUUGGUCCGUAAUCCGGAUUGGGGACAGUGUAUGGUGGGUAGUUUGACUGGGGCGGUCUCCUCCCAAAGAGUAACGGAGGAGUGCAAUGGUACGCUCAGCGCGGUCGGUCAUCGCGCUCUAGAGUGCAAGGGCAUAAGCGUGCUUAACUGUGAGACAGACACGUCGAACAGGUACGAAAGUAGGUCUUAGUGAUCCGGUGGUUCUGUAUGGAAGGGCCAUCGCUCAACGGAUAAAAGGUACUCCGGGGAUAACAGGCUUAUUCCUCCCAAGAGUCCACAUCGACGGAGGAGUUUGGCACCUCGAUGUCGGCUCAUCACAUCCUGGGGCUGUAGCAGGUCCCAAGGGUAUGGCUGUUUGCCAUUUAAAGUGGUACGCGAGCUGGGUUCAGAACGUCGUGAGACAGUUCGGUCCCUAUCUGCCGUGGGCGUUGGAAACUUGAGGGUGAGCUGUCCUUAGUACGAGAGGACCGGGAUGGACGUAUCUCUGGUGUUCCGGUUGUCACGCCAGUGGCACUGCCGGGUAGCUAUAUACGGACGGGAUAAGCGCUGAAAGCAUCUAAGCGCGAAGCCCCCCCCAAGAUUAGGUUUCCCUGGGAACUCGAUUCCCCUAAAGGGCCGUCGGAGACUACGACGUUGAUAGGCUGGGUGUGUAAGUGCAGCAAUGCAUUGAGCUAACCAGUACUAAUUGCCCGUGAGGCUUGACU
rnacentral:rRNA from 1 species